UACGGAGGGUGCAAGCGUUAUCCGGAUUCACUGGGUUUAAAGGGUGCGUAGGAGGAUAGGUAAGUCAGUGGUGAAAUCUCCGGGCUUAACUCGGAAACUGCCGUUGAUACUAUUUAUCUUGAAUUCUGUGGAGGUGAGCGGAAUAUGUCAUGUAGCGGUGAAAUGCUUAGAUAUGACAUAGAACACCAAUUGCGAAGGCAGCUCACUACACAGCGAUUGACUCUGAGGCACGAAAGCGUGGGGAUCAAAC
rnacentral:rRNA from 1 species